GAUGAACGCUGGCGGCGUGCUUAACACAUGCAAGUCGAACGUGAGAAUAGCAAUAUUUGAAAGUGGCAAACGGGUGAGUAACACGUGGGAACCUGCCUCGAAGUGGGGGAUAACGAUUGGAAACGGUCGCUAAUACCGCACGGUUCUGCUCUGAUGGGAAUGGAGCAGAUAAAGAUUUAUCGCUUUGAGAGGGGCCCGCGGCCGAUUAGCUAGUUGGUAAGGUAAAGGCUUACCAAGGCGAUUAUCGGUAGCUGGUCUGAGAGGACGAUCAGCCACACGGGAACUGAGACACGGUCCCGACUCCUACGGGGGGCAGCAGUGAGGAAUAUUGGGCAAUGGGCGAAAGCCUGACGCAGCAACGCCGCGUGGGGGAUGAAGGCUCUCGGGUUGUAAACCCCUUUCAGCAGGGACGAAUCAAGACGGUACCUGCAGAAGAAGCCCCGGCUAACUACGUG
rnacentral:rRNA from 1 species